CUUCUCUCGCCAGGCGUCCUCGUGGAAGGUUCGUGUGCUAGUUAGAUGGGCGCCAGGGGUCGCCGGCGGGAAGCAUGGAGGGGUCUUUGGGGGCCUUUGGGAACAUGGAGUCCUAUUCUGUUCCGCCUGGGGCCUCGGUGGCGGCUUGCAUGCCCCGAGAUGACGGCCGCUGCCCUAGGCAGGGCCGGCGGGCGAUUGCGCGUGUCCUGCUCCUCUUAGGCCCGGGACCGCGGGAUGGGUGUCGGCGUGACCAGGUCUGAGCUCCCUGUCUCUCCUCAGUGACAUCGUCUUUAAACCCUGCGUGGCAAUCCCUGACGCACCGCCGUGAUGCCCAGGGAAGACAGGGCGACCUGGAAGUCCAACUACUUCCUUAAGAUCAUCGUAAGUGCAGGGUGGGUCGCCUCUGCCCUUCAUGUUGCCCCAGCGCAAAUAGGGACAGUCAGCUGCUAUGUGCUGAGGGUCUACUCACACCGGCUACUGAAUUAGGCCAUUUUUGGGAAAAUACUGUUCAGUUAACAAUUUCCUGAGAUAGGUCCCUUCUGUUGCAGAUAAACGGGCUCAGGCAAGUUAAGUGGGUCCUAAGAUGACAGCAUUCAUAUCCAGGUCUGUCUGGCUUCCAAAAGAGCGCGCUUUAUACAUUUUUUUUUUUUAAACGGAGUCUCGCUCUGUUGUCCAGGCUGAAGUGCAGUGGCUUGAUCUUGGCUCACUGCAACCUCCGCUUCCCAGGUUCAAUCGAUUCUCCUGCUUCAGCCUCCCGAGUAGCUGGGGUUACAGGGGCGCGACACCACACCCAGCUAAUUUUUGUAUUUGCAGUAGAGACAGGGAUUCACCAUGUUGGCCAGGAUGGUCUCGAUCUCUUGACUUCAUGAUCCACCUUCCUCGGCCUCCCUAAGUGCUAGGAUUACAGGUGUGAGCCACCGCGCCUGGCCGCACAUUACAGUUUUACUCCAUUUUUGAGAAGGUCUGAGGUCAGGAAUGACUCAUUGUAAGGAAGCAAGCUGUUGCAUAUUUAGGACCUGUCAGCCAAGAAACUUAAGUGUCCAAUGACUUUUGGAUGGCCUUUGAGGUGGGUCUCCCUUGCCCAGAAAUGCUGACUGUACUGCGCUUAAGCAAUUAGGCAGCAUUGUAGAGCAUAGCUUGUAUUACAUUUUCCCACACUUAGAAGGUUUUCAGACACAAAACCCAAAGGAAUUGUGUAACAAUCCGGAUAAACACGCCUAGAUUGUUUUUACAAAUAAUAAUGUUGCUAUAUUUGCUUAACGUGGUGCUUUUAAUGCUGUGAAUCUAGCCCUCCUCUUGACCAACUUACUUGGAACAUUCCUUUUUUAUCCUGUUAACCAUUUUAGUGAAUCAGAAGCAUGCCUGGUAAUUGGGAAAAAUUAAAAACUAAGUAAAAAAAGAAAAAACUCCUUGAUUGAAUGUAGAAACCUGAUUUUCAGCAUUCAUACCCAGCUAGCCAAUCAUCCAGUUUGGCAGUGUUACAACGUAGCUCCCAAUCUCCCUCUGACUUCAAAAGCUUAGAAGAAAGGGAGUGGGAUGGAAACAAAUUGUGGGGUUCAGUUUCUUCUGGCAUUUUUUCCCCCUUUCUUCCUGUUAAACUUGGCUCCUCUGGCUUGUUUUUUGUAGCAACUAUUGGAUGAUUAUCCGAAAUGUUUCAUCGUGGGAGCAGACAAUGUGGGCUCCAAGCAGAUGCAGCAGAUCCGCAUGUCCCUUCGCGGGAAGGCUGUGGUGCUGAUGGGCAAGAACACCAUGAUGCGCAAGGCCAUCCGAGGGCACCUGGAAAACAACCCAGCUCUGGAGAAACUGCUGCCUCAUAUCCGGGGGAAUGUGGGCUUUGUGUUCACCAAGGAGGACCUCACUGAGAUCAGGGACAUGUUGCUGGCCAAUAAGGUGCCAGCUGCUGCCCGUGCUGGUGCCAUUGCCCCAUGUGAAGUCACUGUGCCAGCCCAGAACACUGGUCUCGGGCCCGAGAAGACCUCCUUUUUCCAGGCUUUAGGUAUCACCACUAAAAUCUCCAGGGGCACCAUUGAAAUCCUGAGUGAUGUGCAGCUGAUCAAGACUGGAGACAAAGUGGGAGCCAGCGAAGCCACGCUGCUGAACAUGCUCAACAUCUCCCCCUUCUCCUUUGGGCUGGUCAUCCAGCAGGUGUUCGACAAUGGCAGCAUCUACAACCCUGAAGUGCUUGAUAUCACAGAGGAAACUCUGCAUUCUCGCUUCCUGGAGGGUGUCCGCAAUGUUGCCAGUGUCUGUCUGCAGAUUGGCUACCCAACUGUUGCAUCAGUACCCCAUUCUAUCAUCAACGGGUACAAACGAGUCCUGGCCUUGUCUGUGGAGACGGAUUACACCUUCCCACUUGCUGAAAAGGUCAAGGCCUUCUUGGCUGAUCCAUCUGCCUUUGUGGCUGCUGCCCCUGUGGCUGCUGCCACCACAGCUGCUCCUGCUGCUGCUGCAGCCCCAGCUAAGGUUGAAGCCAAGGAAGAGUCGGAGGAGUCGGACGAGGAUAUGGGAUUUGGUCUUUUUGACUAAUCACCAAAAAGCAUCCAACUUAGCCAGCUUUAUUUGCAAAACAAGGAAAUAAAGGCUUACUUCUUU
rnacentral:sRNA from 1 species